rnacentral:rRNA from 1 species
CCUACGGGAGGCAGCAGUGAGGAAUAUUGGUCAAUGGGCGCGAGCCUGAACCAGCCAAGUAGCGUGAAGGAUGACUGCCCUACGGGUUGUAAACCUCUUUUAUAAAGGAAUAAAACGAUUCACGUGUGCCUUUUUGCAUGUACUUUAUGAAUAAGCAUCGGCUAACUCCGUGCCAGCAGCCGCGGUAAUACGGAGGAUCCGAGCGUUAUCCGGAUUUAUUGGGUUUAAAGGGAGCGUAGAUGGGUUGUUAAGUCAGUUGUGAAAGUUUGCGGCUCAACCGUAAUAUUGCAAUUGAUACUGGCAGUCUUGAGUACAGUUGAGGUAGGCGGAAUUCGUGGAGUAGCGGUGAAAUGCUUAGAUAUCACGAAGAACUCCGAUUGCGAAGGCAGCUUACUAAACUGCCACUGACAUUGAUGCUCGAAAGUGUGGGUAUCAAACAGGAUUAGAUACCCGUGUAGUC